CGAAGGUCCAAGCGUUACUCGGAAUUACUGGGCGUAAGCGCGCGUAGGCGGCUUUGUAUGUCGAUUGUGAAAGCCCCGGGCUCAACCUGGGAACUGCAGUCGAAACUGCAAAGCUUGAAUGUUGGAGAGGUUGGGAAUACCUAGUGGAGAAGUGAAAUUCGUAGAGAUUAGGUGGAACACCAGAGGCGAAGGCGCCUGACUGGCCAAACAUUGACGCUGAGGCGCGAAAGCGUGGGUAGCAAACAGGAUU
rnacentral:rRNA from 1 species